GAGGGGGGAGACAGGAGAGAGAGAGCAGGAGGGGGCGGAGAGAGGGAGAGCAGGAAAACAAACGAAAGCGCAUCGCGGACUCGUUGCGAGGGUGUUUUUUCUCUGGAGGGCUCGCUGGAUAGAGGAGGGAGGGGAGAAGAAAAUUAGAGGGAAAAAUUGUAAAUUUCUCCAACUCCUGGGGUGAGGCUCAAGGUUUCUUCGCUCGUCCCCUUCUUGCUGAAUCUAGCGUUAGGUCUUUUCUUUCUCCUCUUCCAUUUCUCCUUGCUUCCUUGUUCUUUAUUGAUGAGUGUAAUCGAUUGAUUUUUGGAUUCCGGGGUUGGGGGGGAGCUUGGUCGAUUGAGAGGUCUUGAUCGCUUAUUCUUGGUGUUUUUUUUUGGGGAUUUUUGGAUUGGGAUUGGGCAUAUAAGGUUUGUGCAUUGGUUUUUAGGAAUGGACGAGGCCUGGGAGAGAGCCGUGGAGACGGCCCUCGAAGGACAGGCGGACUCGUCCUCGGCGCCGCGAACCCUAACCCUAGAUGGGGCGGUGAAGUGCCUCCAGGGGCGGCUUCCGCCGCCGGGGCUGCUGGAGAGGUACCAGAGCCUGGAGCAUCUCUCGAUCGCCAACAUCGGGGUCUCGUCGCUGGAGAAGUUCCCGCGACUCCGGAACCUACAGCGGCUUAUCCUCUCCGAUAACCGGAUCGCUGGCGGGCUCGAGUUUCUGGUGGAGGCCGGGCUUGAUUCGCUGCGGGAUCUCGAUCUCUCCAACAAUCGGAUCCAGUUCCUCGAGGAUCUCGCGCCUCUCGCCCAGCUUCGUCUCGUGUCGCUGGAUCUCUACGAGUGCCCCGUUACCAGGGUCAAGGACUACCGAUCCAGGGUGUUCGGGAUGAUCCGGACGUUGAGGUAUCUUGACAAGAUGGAUGCUGAUGAGAACGAGCGGCCAGAGUCGGAUGACGAGGAGGAGGACGAGGAAGAUGACGAAGAGGAGGAGGAGGAUCCGGGGAGCGGCGAGGUUGAUGGUGGGGAUCGGGCCGGAAGGUCGGUGAAUGGCGUUGGAGGAAGUGGUAGAGUGGUUGCGAUUGUCGAUGUGGAUGAGGACGGUGAGAGUGACGCUGAUGAGGAGGAGACAGAGAGUGGUAGGAGGGUGGAGGCCAAUGGACUGGGGCGGGGGUCACAUCACCACCUAUCGAAUGGGUUCCGGGUGGCGCCGGUUGGAGCAGCUUCCACUGAUAUGGAGGACGAGGAAGAGGACGAAGAGGAGGAUGUGGAGGAUGAAGAUGAGGAGGAAGAGGAUUUGGUGGAGGAGAUCGAUGAGGAGGAAGGGGAAGAUGACGAUGUGGUCGAGGUGCAUGAUGUCGGGGACAGUGAUGACGAUGCUGAUGGGGUCGAGGAGGUUGGGGAGGAUGAGAUAGAUGAAGAGGAUGAUGAGGAGGAGGAUGGGGAUGGGGAUGGGGAUGAAGAUGAGGAGGAUGUGGAGGAUGAAGAGGAUGAUGGUGAGCCUGGGAGCACGGGGAGGUUGACGAGCACGGAAGGGGAGAUUGAUGGGCAUGAGCAGGGGGAGGAGGAUGGAAACGGGGAGAUUGGUGAGGAGGAUGAGCAGGGAGUGGAGGAGGAUAGGGAGUAUGAGGAGGGUGAUGGUGAGGAUGAAGAUGAGGAAGAGGAUCUCGGAACAGAAUAUCUAGUGCAGCCGAUUGCUCAACCUGUGGAUGAGAUUGGAGGAAGUGAUUUUGAUGCUUGCAAUGAAGAAGAUGAAGACGAGGUUGAUGAUGAUGAAGUUGAUGAUGAUGAGGAUAAUCACAACAAUGGGGUCCUGCCACACAUUCCUUCAUCUUCUCAACCCAACAAGAGGAAGAGAGAUGAAGAAGAUGAUGACAGUGUUGAGGAUUUGAGGUCUUCAAAGCAUCACUGAUGAUGUUUCAGCAGCAGUGUACAUGGAUGCUGGUAGAAGAAACAAGGGAUGCUUUCUUUUUCUUCCAGGUCUCGCGGCGCAUACGGACGGGGGAGUUGAGCAUGUGUUGCAGGAAAUUUGAUGCCUUAAUGAGGGCGGUCAUCAUUCCUGGUCUUUAAUCGGACGGUCGAAGCGCAGACGAAACGAAUGGCCCCUCGACGGCAACGAGGACGAACGCGAGAGACGGAAAGCUCCGGCUUCCUCCCCACCGUAGAUGGCGUCGCCUCCAAGAAUGCUGCGGUCACUUGAAAUGCGAAGGACGCGGAGAGUGCCGUCGGUGGCGGGCCUUUUGGCGAAGCCGGUGAUCGGACUGUCGCUUUACACGCUCAAGACGACCGGUUGCUUGUCUCCCGCUUGGGCCUGGGGUGUCGAUUGGGGCGGCGGAGGCGGUGAGCUGCCUGGUGGUGGCUGGCAUCGUGGGUUGAUCUCUCUUCACUAAAGUGCCAACCAGGUCCGGCCUCCCCGCCCGGCGCUAGGGCUUGCUCGGGGACGUCGACGACGAGUUUCCGCCCUUCGUCCCUUCUAUCUACGUUGUUGAUUAGUUUCUUUGCUUCUCUCUCUCUACUUGAUUCCAGGGAAGGUAUACAGUUUCAAGUGACAAACAUUGAGAUGUUGGUUUGGCCUUGCAAGCCGAGUAUCAGAGCCGCAGCCAUUAUCACUUUAUUACGUU